AGACAGAAAACUAAGACUGCAUCACCAAAGCCUGUUCAUUGGAAGAAGAGGGACCACAAUGGGGACAUUGUUCACCAGCGCCCACGAGCCCUUAGAAAGCAGUCAACAUCACAAAGACCAGACGAAGGAAGACAUGUUUCUUCUUCACCGCCAUUAGACCAUGGCCAACACCUAGACCAUGAUUUGAAUAUGCGGCAGGUUGAGGACCUUCUACAGGACUCAGAGAACAUGGAAUUGCAAGAUUUUGUUCAGCAGCCACCAUUGUCCAGUUGAAGUCAAAGGCAGAAAGAGGUCCAACAAUGUUGGCAACAGGCGAGGCCACAGAACCUUGACAAUUUACUUUCUGCUGAGAACGUUGUACAGAUGACAUGCAAUCGCUGUCACGUGAAAGAAGCUGUCAUCCGUUUUGGGGAAUCUAUGCCCUCAGUGUGGUUUUGCGCUGAGUUUGAUGGCUUGGUACAUAAACACCACACUCUACACAACAGGCAAACCAUCAUGGAUGGAUUUUUUCAAAUACAUCCCACCAACAGUCUGUGACACUCUGUCACACUGGAAAAUACAUCAUUUGUGAACAAGAUUGUUUUCUGCCAACAGCUCUACCUCAAAGGAUAUGCUCCUGUGACACCGCUGAUGCAGCAGUCUCUGUUGGUAGAUCCAUCAUACU